rnacentral:rRNA from 1 species
UCCUACGGGAGGCAGCAGUAGGGAAUCUUCGGCAAUGGACGAAAGUCUGACCGAGCAACGCCGCGUGAGUGAAGAAGGUUUUCGGAUCGUAAAACUCUGUUGUUAGAGAAGAACGUUGUGUAGAGUGGAAAAUUACACAAGUGACGGUAUCUAACCAGAAAGGGACGGCUAACUACGUGCCAGCAGCCGCGGUAAU